rnacentral:rRNA from 1 species
AGACGGGUGAGGAACACGUACGCAACCUCCCUUUAACUGGGGCACAACCUUGAGAAAUCAGGGCUAAUUCCCCAUAACAUUGCGAAAGGGCAUCCAAUUGCAAUUAAAGAUUCGUCGGUUAGAGAUGGGCGUGCGUUCGAUUAGCUAGUUGGUAAGGUAACGGCUUACCAAGGCAACGAUCGAUAGCUGGUGUGAGAGCACGACCAGCCACACGGGCACUGAGAUACGGGCCCGACUCCUACGGGAGGCAGCAGUAAGGAAUAUUGGUCAAUGGGCGAAAGCCUGAACCAGCCAUGCCGCGUGAAGGAUGAAGGUCCUCUGGAUUGUAAACUUCUUUUAUCUAUGAAUAAACGCCCGAUUUCUAUUGGGUUUGAAGGUAAUAGAUGAAUAAGCACCGGCUAACUCCGUGCCAGCAGCCGCGGUAAUACGGAGGGUGCAAGCGUUAUCCGGAUUCACUGGGUUUAAAGGGUGCGUAGGUUGAUAGGUAAGUCAGUGGUGAAAUACUCCGACUCAAUCGGAGAACUGCCGUUGAUACUAUCUAUCUUGAAUACGGUGGAGGCGGGCGGAAUGCGUCAUGUAGUGGUGAAAUACUUAGAUAUGACGCAGAACACCCAUUGCGAAAGCAGCUCGCUACACCGGCAUUGACACUGAGGCACG